rnacentral:rRNA from 1 species
GUUUUAUGUUAAUUCCACGGGGAGGUCACACCUGCACAAUGGCCUACGGGUUCAAUUGCCGCGGUAACCUGACCGUGCAAAGGUAGCGUAAUCAAUAGCCUAUUAAUUGUUGGCCGGUAUGAAUGGUACGACGCUGGUGGCGCUGUCUCAACUGCAUUAAUUUGAAUUUAACCUCUGGGUGAAAAGGCCCAGAUAGAUCUGAAAGACGAUUAGACCCUGUCGAACUUUAGGUAGAGUGGCUGCCAUGAUAUCAGUAAUAUGAUAGUAUUUGUUUUGCAAUCAAACCUUUGGUUGGGGUAACCGGGGACUAAGAAAAACGCCCCCCCUACAUUGAAAGUUGACACCCGUUUAGAUAGGGGUAAUAGUGACUUUACCCUUAGGGCAAUUGGCCUUCAGGAUAGUAAGAUUACUUAAUAAAAAAAAAUCUGACAAGAUAUGAUUUACUUAAAAAAUGAACCUAAAGAACUAGUUAUCAGUGAGCUGUUAAAAGGGAAGAGUUACCGCAGGGAUAACAGCGUAAUCUUCCCGGCGAGACCACAUUAAGGGGAGGGUUUGCGACCUCGAUGUUGGCUUAGGGCUUCCUAGAAGUGCAGGGGCUUUUAAGGGUUGGUCUGUUCGACCCAUUAAAGCC